AGUAAUGUCAGUAGACUCUUUCAUCAAUUUAUAUAUGUUUCCAGCUAUAGUCAACGAAGUUCUAUAUGAAGUAGAAAAGAUAUACAAGAAUCUGUUAAAGGUUGUAAUUUUUAGUGGCAUUGAAACCAGAGACAUUGGAGUAGUAAAUUAUCCUUUCCAAAUUUAUGAAGUCAGUAUUUUUGAAGAAGAAGACUAUAUUACAUUAUCCGAUGU
rnacentral:lncRNA from 1 species